UACGUAGGGCGCAAGCGUGUCCGGAAUUAUUGGGCGUAAAGAGCUCGUAGGCGGCUUGUCACGUCGGGGUGUGAAAGCCCCGGGGGCUUUAAACCCCCGGGGUCUGCAUUCGAUACGGGGCAGGCUAGAGUGUGGGUAGGGGGAGAUCGGAAUUCCUGGUGUAGCGGUGAAAAUGCGCAGAUAUCAGGGAGGAACACCGGUGGC
rnacentral:rRNA from 1 species